GGGUUUUGGGAUACUUGGGAUUAAGUGUUCUUGGGUUUGAAUAGUACUGGGUUGGGUGACCUCCCGGGAAGUCUAAAUUCAGGAGCUU
rfam:Selaginella moellendorffii unplaced genomic scaffold SELMOscaffold_75, whole genome shotgun sequence.